rnacentral:misc_RNA from 1 species
CAACCCUCAAGCACUGCUUGGUAUUGGGCUCCGCUGGUUUCAGCGGGCCUCAAAAUCAGUGGCAGCGCCGCCUGAGCUCUGAGCGUAGUAAAUACCCUCGCUAUAGAGACCCGGUGGCUCUCGUCAUCAACCCCCAACUUUCUAA